rnacentral:rRNA from 1 species
UACGGGGGGAGCAAGCGUUGUUCGGAUUUACUGGGCGUAAAGGGCGCGUAGGCGGCCACCGCAAGUCGGCUGUGAAAUCCCCGGGCUUAACCUGGGAAUGGCAUUUGGGACUGCAAGGCUGGAGUGUGGCAGAGGAGACUGGAAUUCCCGGUGUAGCAGUGAAAUGCGUAGAUAUCGGGAGGAAUACCGAUGGCGAAGGCAGGUCUCUGGGCUGACACUGACGCUCAUGCACGAAAGCGUGGGGAGCAAACAGG